AUUGCUUCUUGGCUUUUUGGCUAAGAUCAAGUGUAGUAUCUGUUCAAGUUUGAUUUUUUGGUCUUUUAGUAGCUCCCUUCUAUAUUUCGAUUAUGAUAAAUGCUAUAAUGAUGCUGACAAAAAUCUCCAAAAAGUACCUUAGUGAAUUCCUAACUUAAAUACAUCUCUUAUAAGGGGAGGAAAAAAGAA
rfam:Otolemur garnettii contig104743, whole genome shotgun sequence.